UUCCACCACAAUCCUUACCUGCUUGCAGCAAUCCACAUUUAAGGGUUCAAACCCUCUGCUUCCUUUUGCACUCUCUUUGAGAGAAUUCACAAGGAUUAACCAGAGACAAAUGUCCACACACAUAAAGGUUCCCAGGAACCUUGUCUAACAUCCUGCAGCACAUCAGCAAUGGAAACGGGAGCAGCACACGGUGUCUCUGGCCCCUGUUCAGAUGUCUACUGCAGUUCAAGUAAAUGCACCACUUCAUCUGACCCUGCAGAUCAUAAGCUGAUCAAUCUUGAUGCUGUAGACUCUGCUGAGACCAUAAGUGAGUUUCCAGAGGAGCUGAAAUAAUCCUCAUCAGGUAUUUCAGUCCAAAAUAUGGUGAAAAAAUGAAUUAUAACGAAGAGAACCAGGAGACAGACAGAGCUCAGCUGAUGCCAGGCACUUCAAUACAGUGAUAAACAAUACACUGUGGAUUUCUAAAUCUAAUUGACAGACUUCCUAGGAAAGGAAAGUAUCAAGGAAUUGGUAUCCAGAGUCUUAAAAUAACAUUCUUUUCUCUGUCAUAGCUGAGCUCUGUGAGAGUCUACUUGCUACUGGACUUACUGUGAGCAGACUUCUGCACUAAAACUCCUGCUACUUCAAGGUAGAUUAAUUUACUGCAAGGGUCAUACAUAGGAUUGGCUGUGUGACCACCCUCCUGUUCAAUUGGUUCCAUACAGGUGAUUCUAGUGCAAAUGAUAGAAAUUUAAGUUCCCACAACAAGCCAAUUAACACAGCUGCAGUGCAAUCACCAGGGCCUGACCCUCCAGAGUGCUGCUCUUUGCAGCAUCCAUGUCUCAGAGUCAAUUCCCCAAACCAAAUUCUAAUGGCAAACUCUUAUGACAUUGCAUUUGGGGUUAAUGACUCCAAAAACAAGGCUAAUUGUUCUCACCAGAAGAUCUCCUGGUAAAAAAAAGAAAAAACAUGUACCUCCACAUGUGGUAUCUCUGGCACCAAGUGACCUGUGGUGUCCUUGGACAUGUUUUUGGGAAGGUCAGUGUCUUCUUUUCUGAGCUUUCCUCUUUCAUUCAUCCUGCUGGCCUAAAUUUGGU
rnacentral:lncRNA from 1 species